UACGUAGGGUGCGAGCGUUGUCCGGAUUUAUUGGGCGUAAAGAGCUCGUAGGCGGUUUGUCGCGUCGGCCGUGAAAUCUCCACGCUUAACGUGGAGCGUGCGGUCGAUACGGGCAGACUUGAGCUCGGUAGGGGAGACUGGAAUUCCUGGUGUAGCGGUGAAAUGCGCAGAUAUCAGGAGGAACACCGGUGGCGAAGGCGGGUCUCUGGGCCGAUACUGACGCUGAGGAGCGAAAGCGUGGGGAGCGAACAGG
rnacentral:rRNA from 1 species